rnacentral:rRNA from 1 species
ACGGAGGGUGCAAGCGUUAAUCGGAAUUACUGGGCGUAAAGCGCACGCAGGCGGUUGAUUAAGUCAGAUGUGAAAUCUCCGGGCUUAACCUGGGAACUGCAUUUGAAACUGGUCAGCUUGAGUAUCGUAGCAGGGGGUAGAAUUCCAGGUGUAGCGGUGAAAUGCGUAGAGAUCUGGAGGAAUUCCGGUGGCGAAGGCGGCUCCCUGGACGAAGACUGACGCUGAGGUGCGAAAGCGUGGGGAGCAAACAG